UACGAAUUAAAUGGCAUGGUCUGGAGGAGGAAAAGAGCUGAUCAUGGGAAGACAAGGUAACUUUGUCAAGGUUAUUUCCAACCAUUAACCUUGAGGUCAAGGGUAAUCUUAUGGGGGAUGGAAAUUAUAGGGAGACUUACCAGAACGCGAUGUUGGAGGAGACGCGACGGCUGAUCCAGGACCUGAGAGACGGACCCGACGAGUUGGAGGACGGCGUCGCCAAGUCACCGGCAGAGGAAGGGAAUAACGAUCUCCCAACUGUCGCUUUGGGGAUUGCUAAUCGGAGUCGGAGGAACCGGUACCCGAGUACCUAGUUGGCGGGUUAUGAAACCUAAUUGGAAGGGGCCAAUGGAGAAAUCAAAGGAAAUUAGAGAACUGUAAUUUCUUUUAAGUAGUAAGGGUAAUUUAGUCAAUAAAAUUAUAAUAAGUAAUAUAAAUACCUUGCUUCAAAACCUAUUAUUUUUAUCAAUGAAAUUUCCAAAUUGAAAGGUUUUAAUUAACCUCAAGUAACGGCUGAAGCAGCCCAAACACUAUUCCAUUCCCUGCCUCCAUCGAUUCCCAUCCUUCC
rnacentral:lncRNA from 1 species